rnacentral:rRNA from 1 species
ACCUACGGGAGGCAGCAGUGGGGAAUAUUGCACAAUGGGGGAAACCCUGAUGCAGCAACGCCGCGUGAGUGAAGAAGUAUUUCGGUAUGUAAAGCUCUAUCAGCAGGGAAGAAGAAAGACGGUACCUGAGUAAGAAGCCCCGGCUAACUACGUGCCAGCAGCCGCGGUAAUACGUAGGGGGCAAGCGUUAUCCGGAUUUACUGGGUGUAAAGGGAGCGUAGACGGCAGUGCAAGUCUGGAGUGAAAGGCGGGGGCUCAACCCCCGGACUGCUCUGGAAACUGUACGGCUGGAGUGCAGGGGAGGG